AUUGAACGCUGGCGGCAUGCCUUACACAUGCAAGUCGAACGGCAGCGGGCCUUCGGGUGCCGGCGAGUGGCGAACGGGUGAGUAAUGCAUCGGAACGUGCCAUUGAGUGGGGGAUAACGUAGCGAAAGUUACGCUAAUACCGCAUAUUCUGUGAGCAGGAAAGCAGGGGACCGCAAGACCUUGCGCUCUGGGAGCGGCCGAUGUCGGAUUAGCUAGUUGGUGGGGUAAAGGCCUACCAAGGCGACGAUCCGUAGCGGGUCUGAGAGGAUGAUCCGCCACACUGGGACUGAGACACGGCCCAGACUCCUACGGGAGGCAGCAGUGGGGAAUUUUGGACAAUGGGCGGAAGCCUGAUCCAGCCAUGCCGCGUGAGUGAAGAAGGCCU
rnacentral:rRNA from 1 species